rnacentral:lncRNA from 1 species
AGAGGUCUUUUGAGCUGAUUUUAAACACACAACUCCUCCAUACGUUGUUAUACACAUUGAUCAUUUUCAAGCAUCAUUUUAGAGCUUUUGUUGAGCAAUUUGAUAGACAACUUUGUGUUGUACAUAGAGCUUAUUGUGUAUCUCUUUAUCCACUCUAUUGAGAGAGUAUUUGUUGUAAAAGAGAGUUGUUUGAGAAGAACAUAUCUUCUCAUUUGUCGGNNNN